ACAGGGAUUGCCCUAGUAACGGCGAGUGAAGCGGCAACAGCUCAAAUUUGAAAUCUGGCGUCUUUGGCGUCCGAGUUGUAAUUUGCAGAGGGCGCUUUGGCAUUGGCAGCGGUCCAAGUUCCUUGGAACAGGACGUCACAGAGGGUGAGAAUCCCGUACGUGGUCGCUAGCCUUUACCGUGUAAAGCCCCUUCGACGAGUCGAGUUGUUUGGGAAUGCAGCUCUAAAUGGGAGGUAAAUUUCUUCUAAAGCUAAAUACUGGCCAGAGACCGAUAGCGCACAAGUAGAGUGAUCGAAAGAUGAAAAGCACUUUGGAAAGAGAGUUAAAAAGCACGUGAAAUUGUUGAAAGGGAAGCGCUUGCAGCCAGACUUGCCUGUAGUUGCUCAUCCGGGUUUUUACCCGGUGCACUCUUCUAUAGGCAGGCCAGCAUCAGUUUGGGCGGUUGGAUAAAGGUCUCUGUCAUGUACCUCCUUUCGGGGAGAUCUUAUAGGGGAGACGACAUGCAACCAGCCUGGACUGAGGUCCGCGCAUCUGCUAGGAUGCUGGCGUAAUGGCUGUAAGCGGCCCGUCUUGAAACACGGACCAAGGAGUCUAACAUCUAUGCGAGUGUUUGGGUGUCAAGCCCGAACGCGUAAUGAAAGUGAACGGAGGUGGGAACCUUUCGGGGUGCACCAUCGACCGAUCCUGAUGUCUUCGGAUGGAUUUGAGUAAGAGCAUAGCUGUUGGGACCCGAAAGAUGGUGAACUAUGCUUGAAUAGGGUGAAGCCAGAGGAAACUCUGGUGGAGGCUCGCAGCGGUUCUGACGUGCAAAUCGAUCGUCAAAUUUGGGCAUAGGGGCGAAAG
rnacentral:rRNA from 1 species